CAGUCGAACGAAACUUCUUUAUCACCGAGUGCUUGCACUCACCGAUACAGAGUUGAGUGGCGAACGGGUGAGUAACACGUGGGCAACCUGCCCAAAAGAGGGGGAUAACACUUGGAAACAGGUGCUAAUACCGCAUAACCAUAGUUACCGCAUGGUAACUAUGUAAAAGGUGGCUAUACUACCGCUUUUGGAUGGGCCCGCGGCGCAUUAGCUAGUUGGUAGGGUAAAGGCUUACCAAGGCAAUGAUGCGUAGCCGAAUUGAGAGGUUGAUCGGCCACAUUGGGACUGAGACACGGCCCAAACUCCUACGGGAGGCAGCAGUAGGGAAUCUUCCACAAUGGGCGAAAGCCUGAUGGAGCAACGCCGCGUGGGUGAAGAAGGUCUUCGGAUCGUAAAACCCUGUUGUUAGAGAAGAAAGUGCGUGAGAGUAACUGUUCACGUUUCGACGGUAUCUAACCAGAAAGCCACGGCUAACUACGUGCCAGCAGCCGCGGUAAUACGUAGGUGGCAAGCGUUAUCCGGAUUUAUUGGGCGUAAAGGGAACGCAGGCGGUCUUUUAAGUCUGAUGUGAAAGCCUUCGGCUUAACCGGAGUAGUGCAUUGGAAACUGGAGACUUGAGUGCAGAAGAGGAGAGUGGAACUCCAUGUGUAGCGGUGAAAUGCGUAGAUAUAUGGAAGAACACCAGUGGCGAAAGCGGCUCUCUGGUCUGUAACUGACGCUGAGGUUCGAAAGCGUGGGUAGCAAACAGGAUUAGAUACCCUGGUAGUC
rnacentral:rRNA from 1 species